rnacentral:rRNA from 1 species
AAUCGAACCCGGAGAUAGCUGGUUCUCCCCGAAAUAGCUUUAGGGCUAGCGUCGAGGUAGAGAGUUGCGUGAAGGUAGAGCACUGAAUAUGUGAUGGCCCCAUCUCGGGGUACUGAGCAUAAUCAAACUGCGAAUGUCACGGAAACAUACUCGGCAGUCAGACAGCGGGUGAUAAGGUCCGUUGUCAAGAGGGAAACAGCCCAGACCAUCAGCUAAGGUCCCAAAAUGUAUGCUAAGUGGAAAAGGAUGUGGAGAUGUACAGACAACUAGGAGGUUGGCUCAGAAGCAGCCAUCCUUUAAAGAGUGCGUAACAGCUCACUAGUCGAAUGACUCUGCGCCGAUAAUUUACCGGGGCUAAGCAUACUACCGAAGCUAUGGAUCCCAAGGGAUGGUAGGGGAGCGUUCCAUGAACGGAGAAGCGCGAUCGAGAGGACGCGUGGAGAUCAUGGAAGAGAGAAUGCCGGUGUGAGUAGCGGAACGUGGGUGAGAAUCCCACGCACCGAAAACCCAAGGUUUCCAGAGGAAGGUUCGUCCGCUCUGGGUAAGUCGGGACCUAAGGCGAGGCCGAGAGGCGUAGUCGAUGGACAACAGGUAGAGAUUCCUGUACUCAUAUAUAUGUGAAGGAAUGACGGAGAGAGGAAGCUGCAGCCAGCGGCUGGAAGAGCUGGUGCAAGCGAGAUAUCGGGAUGGCAGGCAAAUCCACCAUCCGAAACGAGAAGGCGUGAAGCGUACGGAAAGCUAAGGCGAGUACGGAAGGCAGUGGAGGAGCUUCCAAGAAAAGUUUCUAACGAAAGUAUAUGUGACCCGUACCGAAAAUGGACACACAUGGGUGAGGAGAGAAUCCUAAGGUGAGCGAGAGAACUAUAGCUAAGGAACUCUGCAAAAUGACUCCGUAACUUAGGGAGAAGGAGUGCUCAUAGAGAUAUGAGCCGCAGUGAAACGGCCCAAGCGACUGUUUACCAAAAACACAGCUCUCUGCUAAGCCGCAAGGCGAAGUAUAGGGGGUGACGCCUGCCCGGUGCUGGAAGGUUAAGGGGAGGGGUUAACGCAAGUGAAGCCCUGAACUGAAGCCCCAGUAAACGGCGGCCGUAACUAUAACGGUCCUAAGGUAGCGAAAUUCCUUGUCAGGUAAGUUCUGACCCGCACGAAAGGCGUAACGAUUUGGGCGCUGUCUCAGCUGUAGACUCGGUGAAGUCUUAGUACCUGUGAAGAUGCAGGUUACCCGCGACUAGACGGAAAGACCCCAUGGAGCUUCACUGCAGGUUGAUAUUGGGAUUUGAUGCAGCAUGUACAGGAUAGGUAGGAGGCAAAGAGAUGGAUACGCCAGUAUUCAAGGAGCCGCUGUUGGGAUACUACCCCUGUUGUAUUGGAUUUCUAACCGGACGACGUAAAGCCGUUGACGGGACAGUGUCAGUCGGGCAGUUUGACUGGGGCGGUCGCCUCCCAAAGAGUAACGGAGGCGCCCAAAGGUUCCCUCAGAAUGGUUGGAAAUCAUUCGAAGAGUGUAAAGGCAGAAGGGAGCUUGACUGCGAGACCUACAAGUCGAGCAGGGACGAAAGUCGGGCUUAGUGAUCCGGCGGUGCUGAAUGGAAAGGCCGUCGCUCAACGGAUAAAAGCUACCCUGGGGAUAACAGGCUGAUCUCCCCCAAGAGUUCACAUCGACGGGGAGGUUUGGCACCUCGAUGUCGGCUCAUCGCAUCCUGGAGCUGAAGUCGGUUCCAAGGGUUGGGCUGUUCGCCCAUUAAAGCGGUACGCGAGCUGGGUUCAGAACGUCGUGAGACAGUUCGGUCCCUAUCUGUCGUGGGCGCAGGAAAUUUGAGAAGAGCUGUCCUCAGUACGAGAGGACCGGGAUGGACGCAUCAAUGGUGGACCAGUUGUCACGCCAGUGGCAUAGCUGGGUAGCUAAAUGCGGAAGGGAUAAACGCUGAAGGCAUCUAAGUGUGAAACCCACUUCAAGAUGAGAUUUCCCAUUGC